rnacentral:lncRNA from 1 species
CAAGCCUUGAGACAAUUGAAACAUGGAUUGUGUAUGUGUGCCAUUCAGAGGGUGAAUGGGCAUGACACAAAAUGUAAGUGUCAAGUGUUUUGUGUCAAGAACUGCAACGCUGCUCAAGUUUUUCAUGCUCAAUAGUUUCCCGUGUAGCUGCUCUGAGGACAAAAAGGCAAUUCAAUGUUAGGAAGGUGUUCCUAAUGUUUGUUAUACUCAGUGUAUAUCUAAUCUUUAGUCUUAGCUUUCUGUACAUUUCACCAAACAUUGGUUGGAAAUAUAAAUGUUUCCUCUACCAAUAACUAGAUGCAAAUUCCAAAACGGGUAUUACAAGGACAGCGGGUUUAGCCAAUCAGAAAGCGACUCUAUUUCCUGUGGGCGUGACUCUCGCUACAACGUAUUCUUGCCAAAAAAUCUGAGCCUUAGAUGUAAUCGCUUCCGCUGAUGCCGCCAUUUCAAAUCGAAAUACAGGGAUAGGGUAUAGAUAAUAUUUUUUUAAAUGUUUUAUUUGCAAAUCUUUUUAUAUUUUCUUUUUAUUUAGAGUAAGUAUCUAUAUUUAGUUGUAUUUCUGGACCUCAAUAGUCUUCUAAGAUGGAUGCAGAUACAGAGCAGGUGACGGACAACACAGAAACUUCCCAAAAUGCAUCUGAGGAGCCCAUAUCAGAAAACAAAUCCAGGGGUCGUGGUGGGUUCAAAGGGCGUGGCCAGGGGUUCCGGAUUGGUCGAGGAGGCAUGCAUGGUGGACGGGGCCUUAUGAUGAAAGGAUUUGGCCCACCCGAACGAGGCAGGGGGGAUAGAGGACGGGGUGGGGACAUGAAUGGGUUUGGACCCAUGAGGUAAGGAACUGAUGCUUCUUUAUGCAUGGGAUGGUAUCAGUGUUGUGUC